rnacentral:tRNA from 1 species
GCCGCAUGGGGAAACCGG